UACGAAGGGGGCUAGCGUUGCUCGGAAUCACUGGGCGUAAAGGGUGCGUAGGCGGGUCUUUAAGUCAGGGGUGAAAUCCUGGAGCUCAACUCCAGAACUGCCUUUGAUACUGAAGAUCUUGAGUUCGGGAGAGGUGAGUGGAACUGCGAGUGUAGAGGUGAAAUUCGUAGAUAUUCGGAGGAACACCAGUGGCGAAGGCGGCUCACUGGCUCGGUACUGACGCUGAGGUGCGAAAGCGUGGGGAGCAAACAGG
rnacentral:rRNA from 1 species